CGUGCCUAACACAUGCAAGUCGAGCGGUCCAGCACUCAAGCUUGCUUGGGUGCUGGGUAGCGGCGAACGGGUGAGUAACGCGUGGGUGACCUGCCCGGGAGACUGGGAUAACAGUUCGAAAGGGCUGCUAAUACCGGAUGAUCCCCAGCACUCAACCGAAGGAAUUAGGCUUGGUUUUAGAGGAAGCUUUCUUGUAGGUUCAAUGAGGUUUUUCUAUGGUACAGCCUGGUUUUUGGGUUGAGUGCUGGGGCAAAGCGUUUAGCGCUCCUGGAUGGGCCCGCGUCCCAUUAGCUAGUUGGUGGGGUAAUGGCCUACCAAGGCGGCGAUGGGUAGCCGGUCUGAGAGGAUGGUCGGCCACACUGGGACUGAGACACGGCCCAGACUCCUACGGGAGGCAGCAGUGGGGAAUUUUGCGCAAUGGGGGGAACCCUGACGCAGCGACGCCGCGUGGGUGAUGAAGGCCUUCGGGUUGUAAAGCCCUGUUGGGGGGGAAGAUAAUGACGGUACCCCCUGAGGAAGCCCCGGCUAACUACGUG
rnacentral:rRNA from 1 species